rnacentral:rRNA from 1 species
GAUGAACGCUAGCGGCAGGCUUAACACAUGCAAGGUCAGGGGUAACAGGAAAAAGCUUGCUUUUUGCUGACACCGGCGCACGGGUGCGUAACGCGUAUAGAACCUACCUUUUACAGAGGGAUAGCCUUUAGAAAUGAAGAUUAAUACCUCAUAGUACUGAGUUUUGGCAUCGAGAUUCAAUUAAAGAUUUUAUCGGUAAAAGAUGGCUAUGCGUCCUAUUAGCUAGAUGGUAAGGUAACGGCUUACCAUGGCAACGAUAGGUAGGGGUCCUGAGAGGGGGAUCCCCCACACUGGUACUGAGACACGGACCAGACUCCUACGGGAGGCAGCAGUGAGGAAUAUUGGACAAUGGGCGCAAGCCUGAUCCAGCCAUGCCGCGUGCAGGAAGACUGCCCUAUGGGUUGUAAACUGCUUUUAUACGGGAAGAAACACCCCUACGUGUAGGGGCUUGACGGUACCGUAAGAAUAAGCACCGGCUAACUCCGUG